AUGGCGCUCACCGGCGACUACAAGCUCAUCAGCACCGAGGACAUGCUCCAAGGCCACGCCGAGCUCUGCAUCCACGCCUACGGCUUCGUCAAGUCCAUGGCGCUCAAAUGCGCCAUAGAGCUCGGCAUUCCCGGCGCCAUCCACGGCAACGGCGGCGGCGCCACGCUCGGCGAGCUGGCCACCAUUAUCGCCCUCCCUCCCUCCAGGCUCCCGCGCCUGCGCCGCCUCAUGCGCGUGCUCACCGUCUCGGGCGUCUUCUCCGUCCAACACCAGCAGCCGGACGACUCCGCGGGCUGCGCCAUCGUCGUCUACGGGCUCACCUCAGCCUCCCGCCUCCUCGCCGGCGACGGUGAGGCGUCGUCCGGACUGUCCCGUCUAGUGUCCCUCAUGGUCGACCCGAAACUCACCGCGCCGUUCUCCGGCAUGAGCGCGUGGUUCAUGGACGACGAGCAGCCGCGCUCCUUCUUCGAGAUGCACCACGGCGAGGACAUGUGGGAUAUGGCCGCGCGGGAGGCUGCUCUGAGCAGGACGAUAGGCGACGGCAUGACCGACGACAGCCGCUUCGUCGUGGAGGUGCUCCUGAGGGAGGGCCGCGCGCGCGACGUCUUCUCCGGGGUGCGCUCGAUGGUCGACGUCGGCGGCGGCACCGGCACCAUCGCAAAGGCCAUCGCGGCAGCUUUCCCGCACGUUGAGUGCAGCGUCCUGGAUCUCCCACACGUCGUCGCGGAGGCCCCCGCCGGCGGAGAGGUGCGAUUCAUCGAGGGCGAUAUGUUCGAGCACAUUCCCCCGGCCGACGCUGUUCUGCUCAAGUCAGUGAUGCACGAUUGGCGUGACGACGAGUGCGUCAAGAUACUACGAAGGUGCAAAGAGGCAAUCCCUUCCAGAGAAGCUGGAGGGAAGGUGAUAAUCAUAAACAUGGUGGUUGGUUCUGAAAAGUCGAAGGGUAAUAGUACUAAAAAGGAGGAGGCACAAGCAUUGUACGAUCUCUUCCUCAUGGUUUUUGAGGGAGGUGAACGAGAAGAGCAUGAGUGGGAGAAGAUCUUCUUGGAAGCCGGAUUCAGUGGCUACAGUAUCAUACCUAUGCUAGGAAUUAGGUCCAUCAUCGAGGUCUAUCCUUAA
rnacentral:rRNA from 1 species